GGCGGCUGCGCAUAAGCCGGCGGCGGAGCCCGGGGCCAGUGUCUCCGGCCGGCCCUGCCCACCGCGGGAGCUCCGCCUCGGGCAGGCCAUGGUCCCCUAAUGCCAGUUCGGUUUGUGCCUCCCUCCUGGAAAAAUGCCUGCUAAUGCCUUCUAAGUGCCCAUCUAGGCCCAGCUGACAGCCUGUUCUCUCCAGUAGAUCAGGGCAGGCAAAAGUGUAAUACAAGACACAUGAAGUUUGUCUUUCUCCACCUGGGACAGUCUUCCAACGUUAUCCUGAUCCUACUAUGACCAGAAACUAGAUGUGGAAAAGUUAUUUACAGUUUCCCCCCACCACACGCUGCAAAUGUUUUCUUCAUGGUACACAUACAGGUAUUAAAUUCAGAUGAAUGUUAAGCAUGUAAUAAAAAAGCGAUUUUGAGCACAGCAUUCAGGAGAAUUUCCCAUAGCCUAAACAUUGUUGUGCAUGUUUAUCUCUUCCUCAUAGUAAAACUUGCUUUGGUAAUCAGAACCUGUCAUUUCAUAACAUUAAUCUUUUUCUUGAAUUAAAAUAUCUAUUGUUUUAAACUUUCCCUUUAAAUACAAUGUUCAUUCAUCUAAAACCAAGUUUUUUUGUGGUGAUAAUAUCAGUAUAGACAGCUGCCAUAGGAACUGUGAUUUCUCUAUUUUUGUUGACAUUUUUGUAAUUAAUUAACAUGCUAUUAUAUUUCCAAAAUGUAUAUAUUUAUUCACAUUCAUUAUUUCUUUUAAAUAGUUUCUGUUUCACACUGUAUAAUAAGAAUGAUUUCAGGAAUCUUACAUGGAAUAAGGAAAAGAAAAAAAACCAACUGGUUCAGUGGACUAAAUUUUAUGUCUCUGUUGAUGUUAUCUGAGUUCAUUCUAGCUCCUGUGUUUGACGGAACUGGAUUUCUUCCAGCUCUGAAGCUCCGUGACCCAGCCCAUGCAGUUUUCAAGCUGUCAGUAUUAGAACAAAAUCUUAAUAAUUUACAGUGUAGUAUGGCCUCUGAAGAAUGUUUUCACUUUGUAUCUUAAUAUGAAAAAUAAAUAAAUGCUGAAAGUCUCUAGCAGUGCACUGA